ACACUCCAAAACAAGCCAGAUGGGCCUUGGAUCACAGCACCUGUUUGUCAAGCAAAACUCCUGAAUCAUCUCAGGCAGUGUUCAAACACAGCCAGGAGAAGCCUGAACACGAAAGGUCUCCCCUAAAAUACAGCCCUGAAGCAGUGAAGGUGCACCAGAUUUUGAGGAGGAGGAAUGGUGUUCCAAAGCACUGCAGAGACAUGGGAGGGAGCGGCACCUCGGCCUCCUGCUCUCCUGGUGACUCCCAGCUAGAUCUGGAGCUGAGCAGCUCCGCCAGCUGGAGCUCAGUAUUUGCUCAGCUCACAGAAAACAUCCCUCAGCUAAGGUCAGGUUGUCUGUUACUGAUGGUGUUUGGAGAGGUAUUGUUGCAGCCCCUCAAAUGAGCCUCAGGCGGGACUUGCAAGAGGGAAAACUGGCCAAAGCACCACCUGCACUUGCCACCAUCCCCUGCCUUACCUGGCUCGGCCGUGGUGAUCCUCCUCGUGAUCAGGGCUUUCUCCAGACCUACAGACUUUGUAAUUACCCGUUGUCUUCCAUGGGUGUGAGGAGGCUCUGUCCCUGGGGAAGGCAGAGCCACUGCGCUAAAGCAACUGGAGCGUGUGAAUCCCUUCGCAGGUGGCUCAGAUCUUUGGGAAUGCUGCAACAACCUACGGCCCACAGCCUUCUCAUGUGUGCCAGGACUAACCCGGAGCUGCAGUUCUGAGCUGGGUUUUACCAAGCUCAGAUUAAAGACCUGAGGCUCCAGCAAGGGCCGUGGUGAAGUUCAAGGCAAAGCUAUGUCCUGCUGCGGUGCCAACACACGCUGCUCCUCCGAGGUGCUGCCGACAGUCCGGAGUGAGGAUAAUUCCAGCAUUUCGGGGCUGGCCUCGGCUGAGAUUAGCAACCUAACUUAACAAAGCUCUACUGUAAUUGCAUGUUCACUGGAAAGGGGAAAAAUAAUCAAAUGAAAAAGGACAAAACCAGCAGGGAAAGAAAAUUUAUUUCCAAGCAUCUACGAGAGUGCUACAAACAAUAGAGACUAAAACUCGAAGCAUUUGAAACUAUUAAAAAAUGUAGUUGACAAUGUCCUUCUUAAAAAUUAAACAUAAAAAUGUAGAAAAUGCAGUUAUUAAUUAUAAAACCUGCUUAAAAGUGAAAUAAAUCCAGAUAGCAUCAAUGAGGAUGGAGUUCUACAAAUUACUUUUUUUUUUUUUUACUUUAUUUCGAUUUGUUAAUUUGUAAAGUGAUACUCUUUUUUUUUUAAUGUUUAUUUAAAUUUUUAAUGGAGAAAUGUGCAAAUCUAGCAAAAUAUUCUUUGGAUUAUAAACAAGAGAAAAAAUCAACAACCAAAGAAAUUUGAACGAAGUUAAUAAUAAACUAUAGAAUUAUAUAGAAUGAAUACAGCUAUAAUAAAGUGAAAUAUUACAAUAAACAUUGUAGAGCAAAUCUACCGAUUGAGCAAACUCUGCCUUAUAAAACAUAGGGAUAUAAAGGGAAAAGUGAAUCUGUUAUGGAUAUAGAGCUGAAACAUCAGUCAUCAUUUUAAGGAGUUAAAUUUUAAUCUAAGUACAUAUAUGAGGGGUCUUCAGAAAAGCAACACACCAACAAAUGAGACUUCCUCUCAGAUCAAGCAGUUUGGUACCUGACUGCAAAUGAAGGACAGGGUUUGUAAAACAAAUGUAGGAAAAUGUAGAUAAUUUCUGUUUAUUGCCUCUUCCCAUAUUGUAGCUGCUGAUCUCUGACCCUAAACAGCCAACUGUCUGAAAUUCAGCAGAAGUACAGCUGUACGCCGAUGCAGAAAAUGUUGAUGUGCAGAACGUAUCCCAAUCCCUUGCUCCUUCUGAAGUAACAUUUAAAAAGAAAAGAAGUUAUAGAUCCCUUUUUGGAUAAAAAACAUGCAUCACGAAGAAUAACUCUGAAAGCACUCUGUGUUUCUGUUGUCACCAAUUAAAAUGUCUCCCUAUCCGCAGAUGAUGCUUUUCUACUGGAAAUUAAAAAAAAUAAAUAAAUAAAAAAAAAAUUAAGUGCCGGAAUCUUAAUUACUACUAAGGUAAGGUAAUUGUCAGGUAGAACAGUCCUUAGGGAAGUCACAGCUAAACUGG